GCAAGCGUUGUUCGGAAUUACUGGGCGUAAAGGGCUCGUAGGCGGCCAACUAAGUCAGACGUGAAAUCCCUCGGCUUAACCGGGGAACUGCGUCUGAUACUGGAUGGCUUGAGUUUGGGAGAGGGAUGCGGAAUUCCAGGUGUAGCGGUGAAAUGCGUAGAUAUCUGGAGGAACACCGGUGGCGAAGGCGGCAUCCUGGACCAACACUGACGCUGAGUGAGCGAAAGCCAGGGGAGCAAACGGG
rnacentral:rRNA from 1 species